CCCAAACCCAAUGUGAACGUUACCAAACUGUUGCCUCGGCGGGGUCACGCCCCGGGUGCGUCGCAGCCCCGGAACCAGGCGCCCGCCGGAGGAACCAACCAAACUCUUUCUGUAGUCCCCUCGCGGACGUAUUUCUUUACAGCUCUGAGCAAAAAUUCAAAAUGAAUCAAAACUUUCAACAACGGAUCUCUUGGUUCUGGCAUCGAUGAAGAACGCAGCGAAAUGCGAUAAGUAAUGUGAAUUGCAGAAUUCAGUGAAUCAUCGAAUCUUUGAACGCACAUUGCGCCCGCCAGUAUUCUGGCGGGCAUGCCUGUCCGAGCGUCAUUUCAACCCUCGAACCCCUCCGGGGGAUCGGCGUUGGGGAUCGGGACCCCUCACACGGGUGCCGGCCCCUAAAUACAGUGGCGGUCUCGCCGCAGCCUCUCCUGCGCAGUAGUUUGCACAACUCGCACCGGGAGCGCGGCGCGUCCACGUCCGUAAAACACCCAACUUUCUGAAAUGUUGACCUCGGAUCAGGUAGGAAUACCCGCUGAACUUAAGCAUACA
rnacentral:rRNA from 1 species